CAUUUACCUCUAUUGCGAUACCAAAUGUACUCCUCUGCUUUGAGGUUCCUUCGUCUUGUUCCGUUCACGACCCUCACAGUUAAACACACAAACACACAUGCACAUAUCAGUAAAUUAGUUUAUGAUUCACGAGAAUCAAAACCGAAAAUAAAUCAUAGAAAGGAAACAGAGCCAGGAUUGAAACAUAGCACAUAUGCAAAAUGAAACAAGCAUUGCUUUAUAUUUGAAACACACAGAAGCAAUCACAUGAUUAAUAUAUUUAUCACGGAAGCAAUCACAUGAUUGAAACAUAGCACAUAAACAAAAUGAAACAGAUGCAAUCACAUGAUUAAGAAAGAGAAGAAAGA
rnacentral:lncRNA from 1 species